UUAGUUGAAGCCAAAAUAGAGGCGUAUUACUGUUAAUAAUAAAAAUGGGUAACAACAUAUUGUCCCCAACUAAG
rnacentral:tRNA from 1 species